GAUGACAGUGACCUCCUAGUGGCGGUGGUGCUAGAUCGCUGGGGCUGAAGAGGCGCCCUGUUGUCACAACAAGUCUUAGACGUGGUCUGCAGAUUAGAUGAUAGUGACCUCCCUUCCUUGCGACUCAUGGUUUGCUGGAGCUGUAGGAUUCUCCCGGCACAAUGGAGGUGCUAUCGUCUGAUUUGGAGCAACAAGGAAAUAUAAAGAUGCAAGUUACCCUUCAGAACAACUCUUAAUUUCUGGAGAAAAGGAAACACAGGACCAGAUUUACUUUAUAAAACAGAUCGAAUCAUUGGGAAAUGCUUGUGGAACUAUUGCUCUACUCCAUGCUGUUGGAAAUGCAUCUUCCAAAGUCAAUUUAGUGGAGAAUUCAUGCUUGGACUUGUUCUUCAAAUCAACUGCUACCAUGGAUGACCCUCAUGAGCGUGCUGUGUGUCUGGAGAAGGAUGAUACAAUGGCAAGGGCUCAUUUACUUGCUGCCAAUGAUGGUGCCACUGAGGUACUGGUUUAUUUGCAUAUGUGAACUGGAAAUCAAUCUGGAAAACAUCAAAGAAUAAUAACUGUCGAACGUAAGGCUAUGCACUAAAUACAGUUCAUGAUGUUCCACUAUAUUUUUCUUUAGUUAGCAUAGUUUCAAGGUCUGAGCUGAACUGUGCUGUGCUGUGUGCAUUGACAACAAAGUAAAAUCGUGAAGCUUAAAUUUGCGAUUCUAUUUUAUAUAGAUAGAUGAAGCAUUGUUAUGGUUAUUGUUUUCUUCAGCUGAAAAUAGAUAAAUAAUUUUGUUACAGGUCAUACAC